UACGGAGGAUGCAAGCGUUAUCCGGAAUGAUUGGGCGUAAAGCGUCCGCAGGUGGCGAUGUAAGUCUGCUGUUAAAGAGUCUAGCUCAACUAGAUAAGAGCAGUGGAAACUACAUAGCUAGAGUACGUUCGGGGCAGAGGGAAUUCCUGGUGUAGCGGUGAAAUGCGUAGAGAUCAGGAAGAACACCAGUGGCGAAGGCGCUCUGCUAGGCCGUAACUGACACUGAGGGACGAAAGCGUGGGGAGCAAACAGG
rnacentral:rRNA from 1 species